UACGUAGGGACCAAGCGUUGUUCGGAUUUACUGGGCGUAAAGGGCGCGUAGGCGGCAAUUCAAGUCAUCUGUGAAAUCUCCGGGCUUAACUCGGAACGGUCAGAUGAUACUGCUUUGCUAGAGUGCGGAAGGGGCAAUCGGAAUUCUUGGUGUAGCGGUGAAAUGCGUAGAUAUCAAGAGGAACACCUGAGGUGAAGACGGGUUGCUGGGCCGACACGUGACGCUGAAGCGCGAAAGCCAGGGGAGCGAACGGG
rnacentral:rRNA from 1 species